GACGAACGCUGGCGGCGUGCUUAACACAUGCAAGUCGAACGAUGAAGAAGAGCUUGCUCUUCGGAUUAGUGGCGAACGGGUGAGUAACACGUGACUAACCUGCCCCUUUCUCUGGGAUAACGCUCCGAAAGGAGUGCUAAUACCGGAUACUCACAUCGAGGCACAUGCCUUGAUGUGGAAAGCUUUUCGGAAAGGGAUGGAGUCGCGGCCUAUCAGCUUGUUGGUGAGGUAACGGCUCACCAAGGCGACGACGGGUAGCCGGCCUGAGAGGGCGACCGGCCACACUGGGACUGAGACACGGCCCAGACUCCUACGGGAGGCAGCAGUGGGGAAUAUUGCACAAUGGGCGAAAGCCUGAUGCAGCGACGCCGCGUGAGGGAUGAAGGUCUUCGGAUUGUAAACCUCUUUCAGUAGGGACGAAGCGAAAGUGACGGUACCUAAAGAAGAAGCACCGGCUAACUACGUGCCAGCAGCCGCCGCGG
rnacentral:rRNA from 1 species